AGUGAACGCUGGCGGUAGGCCUAACACAUGCCAGUCGAACGGCAGCACAGUAAGAGCUUGCUCUUACGGGUGGCGAGUGGCGGACGGGUGAGGAAUACAUCGGAAUCUACUUUUUCGUGGGGGAUAACGUAGGGAAACUUACGCUAAUACCGCAUACGACCUACGGGUGAAAGCAGGGGAUCUUCGGACCUUGCGCGAUUGAAUGAGCCGAUGUCGGAUUAGCUAGUUGGCGGGGUAAAGGCCCACCAAGGCGACGAUCCGUAGCUGGUCUGAGAGGAUGAUCGGCCACACUGGAAGUGAGACACGGUCCAGACUCCUACGGGAGGCAGCAGUGGGGAAUGUUGGACAAUUGGCGCAAGCCUGAUCCAGCCAUACCGCGUGGGUGAAGAAGGCCUUCGGGUUGUAAAGCCCUUUUGUUGGGAAAGAAAAGCAGCAGGUGAAUACCCCGCUGUUCUGACGGUACCCAAAGAAUAAGCACCGGCUAACUUCGUG
rnacentral:rRNA from 1 species